rnacentral:misc_RNA from 1 species
AAGUCGUAACAAGGUUUCCGUAGGUGAACCUGCGGAAGGAUCAUUAACACGUAUCCAAACGUUAAAACAACCCUGUGAAUAUUAACGCGUGUUCUUCCAGGCAACUAAAACAGCAAUCUCUCGUAAAACAGGCGCUAAAGAAUUACAGAUAUUGAUUUGAGAGAUUUCUGUCACGUACGUUCGACGCUGGAAUCGAGCACUAGAUAAAGCACCCUGGUACCCUCUGAUUUAUCACCAAUGUCUGCAAGUGUCCAGUGAUGGUCAGGGGUAACGCAGUCAACGAUCGCUGUAGGUCCACACGACCGGGGACCGGGUGGAGGCGAAAGCCCCUACGUCCCUCCGGGACUUGGCGAAAGCUGACUCCGUUAUAAAUCGAACAACUGUUGACAAUGGAUAUCUUGGUUCUC